rfam:Finegoldia magna ATCC 29328 DNA, complete genome.
AGUAAUUAAUUUGGGCUACCGAAGACAGUAGGGACUAUUAAGUUUAAUCAUCCUACAGAGGAGCAUAAGAUAUGAGUUUAUCAGUCUUUCUGUCUUUGGAUGGAAAGACUUUUUUAGUGUAGCC